UGUCCGGAAUCGUUUCCUCGGGGAUAAUAAUUGCGGCCGUGCUAUAAAUAUACGCGGCGAUGCCGAUUGGUCGCGCGAAAUCGUCCCCCACCUCCGAAAGCGGAUUGCUGCGGCACACCUGGAGUACCGAACAACGCAAUAACUCCCGCGGGAGAUUAAAUUACACCCGCGCUCAAACGCAUUGUUGAUUGUGCGACACGCCUAGUAAUAAUUAUUAUAUCGUUACGUCAGAAAUACGCGGUCAAUUAUAACGCUAUGCCCCGAACAUGUCUUAUGCCGGGUCGCGUAACACCCGUCCGUGAAUUCCGUCGUUUCGAUCGGCGCGGUCCCGUAAAAUUACGAUUAACGAACCGUCCGCUUUGGCACAACGGUGAAUUGUCAUCGUUUCCUAUCCGUGCAUUAGUUAUUUACGGUAUCAUUGGCGUA